CUUAGUAAUUGCGAAUGAACAAGGAAAUGCUCAGCUUGAAAAAUGGGGCCUUUGGCUUUGAAUUGUAAUUUUGAAAUGUAUUGCCAAUGGAGGCGCAGGUGCAAGCCUAUUGAAAGAAAGCGUCAAUGAGGGUGAGAUUCCUUUUUGUCAUUUGCAGUCCUCCGUGCACGGUAUAUAUUUGACGAGUCACACUCCUCGGCAUUGGAAUGCAAAGUGGGUGGUAAAUUCCAUGUAAAGGUAAAUAUAUUAUUGAGACUGAUAGCAAACAAGUACCAUGAGGGAAAUAUGAAAAGGACUUUGAAAAGAGAAUUAAAAGAGUCUGCAUUUGCUGAACAGAAAGCAAACAGAAUUGAUUUUACUUGGUGAGAUUGUUGUGCUUACUCUAUCAUUUAUAUGGUUGAUGUGGGUGCGAUGGUUCUUACCUUGAAUGUCAGCUUCUAUUUCUGCAAAUCAUUACCCUUGCACAUGAAUGGUAAUUUGCCUGCGGGUAUUGGAAUGCAUGUGUUUGCAAUGAUUUGUGAUUUGACGCAUGUGUUUGGUGAAAUUUGUAUAUGCUCUUUUGUCGAAGGGGAAAGCUUACUUUUUUGAGCAUUGCAAGCCCUUACACAUCAGUGCUGGCAAAAUGUUUCUGCUUGACCCGUCUUGAAAC
rnacentral:rRNA from 1 species